UCAUAAGUCUCAUUGAUUAGUGGUAUGA
rnacentral:sRNA from 1 species